AUUGAACGCUGGCGGCAGGCCUAACACAUGCAAGUCGAACGGUAACAGGAAGAAGCUUGCUUCUUUGCUGACGAGUGGCGGACGGGUGAGUAAUGUCUGGGAAACUGCCUGAUGGAGGGGGAUAACUACUGGAAACGGUAGCUAAUACCGCAUAACGUCGCAAGACCAAAGAGGGGGACCUUCGGGCCUCUUGCCAUCGGAUGUGACCAGAUGGGAUUAGCUAGUAGGUGGGGUAACGGCUCACCUAGGCGACGAUCCCUAGCUGGUCUGAGAGGAUGACCAGCCACACUGGAACUGAGACACGGUCCAGACUCCUACGGGAGGCAGCAGUGGGGAAUAUUGCACAAAGGGCGCAAGCCUGAUGCAGCCAUGCCGCGUGUAUGAAGAAGGCCUUCGGGUUGUAAAGUACUUUCAGCGGGGAGGAAGGGAGUAAAGUUAAUACCUUUGCUCAUUGACGUUACCCGCAGAAGAAGCACCGGCUAACUCCGUG
rnacentral:rRNA from 1 species